UACGUAGGUGGCAAGCGUUGUCCGGAUUUACUGGGCGUAAAGAGCGCGCAGGCGGUCGUUCAAGUCGCGUGUGAAAGCCCCCGGCUCAACUGGGGAGGGUCAUUCGAUACUGAUCGACUUGAAGGCAGGAGAGGGAAGUGGAAUUCCGGGUGUAGUGGUGAAAUGCGUAGAUAUCUGGAGGAACACCGGUGGCGAAGGCGGCAUCCUGGACCGGCAUUGACGCUGAGGCGCGAAAGCUAGGGGAGCAAACGGG
rnacentral:rRNA from 1 species